rnacentral:rRNA from 1 species
AUGAACGCUGGCGGCGUGCCUAAUACAUGCCAGUCGCGCGAACAGACGAGGAGCUUGCUCCUCUGACGUUAGCGGCGGACGGGUGAGUAACACGUGGAUAACCUACCUAUAAGACUGGGAUAACUUCGGGAAACCGGAGCUAAUACCGGAUAAUAUAUUGAACCGCAUGGUUCAAUAGUGAAAGACGGUUUUGCUGUCACUUAUAGAUGGAUCCGCGCCGCAUUAGCUAGUUGGUAAGGUAACGGCUUACCAAGGCAACGAUGCGUAGCCGACCUGAGAGGGUGAUCGGCCACACUGGAACUGAGACACGGUCCAGACUCCUACGGGAGGCAGCAGUAGGGAAUCUUCCGCAAUGGGCGAAAGCCUGACGGAGCAACGCCGCGUGAGUGAUGAAGGUCUUCGGAUCGUAAAACUCUGUUAUUAGGGAAGAACAAAUGUGUAAGUAACUAUGCACGUCUUGACGGCACCUAAUCAGAAAGCCACGGCUAACUACGUG